CCUACGGGGGGCUGCAGUGGGGAAUAUUGCACAAUGGGGGAAACCCUGAUGCAGCGACGUCGCGUGAGUGAAGAAGUAAUUCGUUACGUAAAGCUCUAUCAGCAGGGAAGAAACACUGACCUUACGGUCAGCAGACGGUACCUGAGUAAGAAGCCCCGGCUAACUACGUGCCAGCAGCCGCGGUAAUAAGUAGGGGGCAAGCGUUAUCCGGAUUUACUGGGGGGAAAGGGAGCGUAGACGGUUCGGCAAGUCUGGAGUGAAAUGCCGCAGCUUAACUGCGGAACUGCUUUGGAAACUGGAGAACUAGAGUGCGGGAGAGGUAAGCGGAAUUCGUGGUGUAGCGGUGAAAUGCGUAGAUAUUAGGAGGAACACCGGUGGCGAAGGCGGCUUACUGGACCGUAACUGACGUUGAGGCUCGAAAGCGUGGGGAGCAAACAGGAUUAGAUACCCUUGUAGUC
rnacentral:rRNA from 1 species